rnacentral:lncRNA from 1 species
GGUGCCUCAACCUCGCCACUUAAACUAGAUCUUAUUGGCUGAGCAUUUUUAUAAAAUUUACAAGAGUAUCUACAAACAGCCAUGAAUAUACAAAGUGCAAACACAAGAGAAUCUACAAACAGCCAUGAAUUUGCAGAGCACAAAAGAGAUGGAGAUGGUCAGAUCAUAUAUAUCAAAAUACUUUAAUGAUGCUCCUUGUAUCAAAGAAGAAUAAUGUCUAAGAAAUUUCUAAAAUUCAAAGAUAAAGCAUCAACAAAAAAUCCU